AUGCACUUAAUUUACACGAGAAUACAUGCAAUGUAUAUGUGUGUGUGUUGACUUUCCGUCCCGCAUUGUAGGGUGUGACUAGAUAUACGAAGCAGUUGAGCACAAUUACAGUUUUGAGGUUCUUGGCGAGUGAUUAAUCACUAUCUCAUAAAGCUUUUUCGCCAUUGAAGCUGGACAAGAACAAGAAGAGUACACAAGAAAGAACGCAAAACAAAAGAGAAAAGAAAGUACUUACUAAGAAAUUGAAUGUCUAUUAUAGUACACUUUCCCAAUGCAAACAACAUGGAUGAGAGAGAGAACGUACAUCCCCUUGCAGUUUAGAGAGAGAAAGUGUUGAGAGAGAGAGAUGAAAAGGGGAGAAAAAAGUGGGGGAAGGCCAGCAGAAAAGCAAGAAAAUUUGGGGGAAAAGUUGAAGAGAGUGUUGGUGGUGGGGAAAAGAGGGGGACAUACCACUCCAGUUUUGACCCCAUGGAGUGGUGGUGGUGCGCAAGAUAGCAUCCUUAAAUUGCCACCCACUUUAGUCUCUGCUAGAAAGCUCGCUGCUGCCGCUUUCUGGGAGCUUCAUUACUACCACCACCUCCCCAUCUCUAAAAUGCACCAUGGUGUUACUGCUCCACCUCCUAGGCUGCGCAGCCUCCACCGUCACCACCACCGCCACCUUUACAAGGACAAUGGCCUUGACAUCCCCUCCACCACCACCGUCUUUCCCGAUUCCUCCCCCAGUUCCCCUGAUCUGCAGCAGGAGACUACAAGCAGUUUGGGGAGGCAUGUCGCAGCAUCACUAAUGCAACAUCAUCUAUCAAUUGAAAGGAGCAAUCAUGCUAUACAACCUGUCUCUCCUGCUAGUUAUGGCAGUUCUAUGGAGGUGGCGACAUAUAACCCUGCUAUCACUCCUACCAGUUUUGUGGACUUCAAGGGAAGGAAUGGUGACACAGGUUAUGGCCUAAAAACGUCUACAGAACUGCUAAAAGUAUUGAAUCGGAUCUGGAGCUUGGAAGAACAACAUGCAUCCAACCAUUCAUUGGUGAGAGCAUUGAAAAAGGAGCUAGAUGGUGCCCAUGCCCGGAUCAAGGAGUUGUUUCAAGAUCAGCAAGCUGAUAGACAUGUGAUAGAUGGCUUGAUGAAGCAAAUUGCAGGAAGUAAACUAGUUAGGAAGAGCAAGGAGCAAGAUCAGAUCAACAUUGCCAUUCAAUCUGUGAGGGAUGAGCUGGAAGCUGAGAAGAAGUUAAGGAAACGCUCCGAGGGACUGCACAGAAAGUUAUCUCGAGAGCUUUAUGAGGUAAAGAAUUCUCUUGCUGAUGCUUCGAAAGAGAUGGAAAGAGAGAGACAAUCACGGAAGCAGUUGGAAUACCUUUGUGAUGAGUUUGCUUGGGGAAUACGAGAUUUUGAACAAGAGUUGCAUGCUAUGAAACACAUAUAUGACGAGGAUUCAGCAGACAAGAUUGAGCGUGAUCAAUUGAUUCUCAAUAUAUCUGAAUUGUGGCUUGAUGGACGGAUGCAGAUGAAACUAGAAACUCAGCAUGGCUUUGGAGAAAAAUACUCAACAGUUGACAAAUUAAGCUCUGAAAUCGAGACCUUUCUUCAAGCUAAAAGAACUGGCAAGUCUAACAGUAAUUGUAGUUUUGUGCCAAGGGGUACCAGAAUUUGCCGUAAUUCUCUUGAAUCCAUUCCUUUGAAUAUGGCUGUUAGUUCCCCUGUGUGUGAUGAAGAAGGUUCUGAAGGCAGUGAUUCACAUUCUUUUGAGCUAAAUAAACGAAGUGCUGGUGACUUAAAACCACGGGGUGAUGAAGCUGAGGGAAGUUGUAUUGAUGACACAGUGAAGCCACAUCAUACAAAGAAAAAUAUUUCAUCCAUUGAAAGAAUAAAAGGGCGAAAUCCUACCAGCUUGCAGGUGAAGUUUAUAGAACAGAUGGCUCGGGCCAUGUCAUGUAAUGGUAGCAUAACCCAAGUCGUGGAUACAGAAAAAAGGAAAGCCGGGGAAGGGAAUUCUGUUGAAAUAAGCUUUUCCAAGAAGUCCGAAAUUUGUGAAGCUCCAGAAGAGGACAAUUAUGAAAGAAUAGAUAAAUUCGAUGGAAUCCAUGGAUUGAACUCAAAUUAUGUCAUCGACAAUUAUAUACUAAGAAAUAAUUUUUUGUCAGCAGAGUCGGGGAACUCUGCAUGGACGAGUCAUACCAGUCCAGUAAGACAAUGGACCACUGGAUUCCCAUCCCAAGAUCUUGACAUAUCUGAGUCUUCUUCUAAAUUGCCUCAGGACCUAAAGGAGAACACUUUGAAGGCAAAGUUACUUGAAGCAAGGACAAGGGGUCAACGCUCGCGCUCAAAUCUAAAAGUUUCCAAAGGUCCUUCUUAGGCUGGCUUACAUGAUUUGAUAGGUUCAGAGCUUCAUAAAUUUCUAAAAGGCAUGUGAAUUGGAAGCCGAUCCCAUCGAACGUGGCCAUCAGAGUCCCUCCAUUUCAUGUCCUUUGUUUGGGGAUGACUGCAUUAUUUUCUUCAAGCCAUCCCUUCCGAGUUGUUUCCAUUUUAGUGAAAGCUCUUGGAGAAUUUGGUGCACCGUAUGUCAGAGUAUUAAUCACUAUAAAGCCUAUAUUCUUUUCAGCAUCAAUGCUCUGAUUAGUUUACUGGACUCUAAGCUUCUUUAGGAGUUAAAUUAAAGAUAUGGCUUCGUUAUCUUGGGUUUCCCCAAUGGUUUUAUUUAUUUUUUAUUUUUUCAGAAAUUAUCUCCCCAAUGAUUUUAUUUUAUUUUAUGGCCUAGUCUCCUUGAUAUGUUUCUGUCCAUUCCAUAUUUGUAGUGAUGUCUGCUUUUAAACUCCUUUGACACCUUGUGACAAUAUCAACACUCUUAUUUCCAAGUUCUGGUGGAGCUCAAGUGUUGUUUAUUAUUAUUUAAAAAUAUAUAUAUCAUUUAUUGAAAGAAUUGGCCUCCUAUUUGCCAUCUAAGCAAGAGGGAUUAGUUUGAGAGAUUUCAAAUUCCUUACUAGGUUCACAGGCAGUACCGGCAAAUGCUCCAAACCAUGCACUUAGAAGGCUGCACUGGCCUUGCCAAAUCAUUUAUAAGACCAUCUCCCUCUUGCAGUCUUUCAAUGGUUCACUAGGUUUUGUAUAGAUUCGUUGUAGUGGUAGGUGCUAUUGUCUUGUGUUCACCUCUUGCCUUGUGUGAGUUUUGUCAUACUGUUUUAUAUCUAUUUCUCUGUGUUUGUUCCUUGUUCUGCUUCCUGUACAUCUUCCUCUCAUACAGCAAGGAAGUUAAAAGAAAAAAAAAAAAAAAAAAUUGAUUUUAGCCACUUGCAGCACGAAGAACGUUGAUUGAUCCAGAGUGCUUUCAAUUUGAAUGUGCAUUGACUAAAGAAUUUGCCAUUUUGAAAUACAGUUUCAGACUUUUGAGUAGUAUAUUUUGAAAUCCUCUCUUUGGUCUAUUAUACAAAGAGGAAUAGAGAUUGCAUCUUGUAGAGAGUGAGAUGUCAAGAGAGAGCUCUUAUGAGUCUUGUUUAGUGUUUUUCUUUGUAGCUUUUCCUAUUGUA